GCUCAGAUUGAACGCUGGCGGCAUGCUUUACACAUGCAAGUCGAACGGUAACAGGCCGCAAGGUGCUGACGAGUGGCGAACGGGUGAGUAAUGCAUCGGAACGUGCCCAGUCGUGGGGGAUAACGCAGCGAAAGCUGUGCUAAUACCGCAUACGAUCUAUGGAUGAAAGCGGGGGACCGUAAGGCCUCGCGCGAUUGGAGCGGCCGAUGUCAGAUUAGGUAGUUGGUGGGGUAAAGGCCCACCAAGCCAACGAUCUGUAGCUGGUCUGAGAGGACGACCAGCCACACUGGAACUGAGACACGGUCCAGACUCCUACGGGAGGCAGCAGUGGGGAAUUUUGGACAAUGGGCGCAAGCCUGAUCCAGCAAUGCCGCGUGCAGGAAGAAGGCCUUCGGGUUGUAAACUGCUUUUGUACGGAACGAAACGGUCUGGGUUAAUACCCUGGGCUAAUGACGGUACCGUAAGAAUAAGCACCGGCUAACUACGUGCCAGCAGCCGCGGUAAUACGUAGGGUGCAAGCGUUAAUCGGAAUUACUGGGCGUAAAGCGUGCGCAGGCGGUUUUGUAAGACAGUCGUGAAAUCCCCGGGCUCAACCUGGGAAUUGCGAUUGUGACUGCAAAGCUGGAGUGCGGCAGAGGGGGAUGGAAUUCCGCGUGUAGCAGUGAAAUGCGUAGAUAUGCGGAGGAACACCGAUGGCGAAGGCAAUCCCCUGGGCCUGCACUGA
rnacentral:rRNA from 1 species